UAUAGUAUGGUUUACGCAGGUUUUCAUGAUAGAAGGUUGACAUUUUGGAGAAAAUAAAUUAGGGUCCUAAAAUUUAGAAAAUAGGAUGAAUGGCUAAAAGUAACCCGAAAGAAUAAAUCAGAUCUGAUAAAGAGAGAGGGACAACUGAAUGUAAAUUAAUGCAAAAGGAGGGAAGGAAAUCGGUGUAGAGAGAGAAAGAAGAGAAAGAGAAAGAAAGAAAGAUAGAGAGAGAGAGAGUAAGAUAAAGAGAGAAGGGAUACAGUUACCAUCAAUCGGCAGCCAAGAGAGGAAAGAAAGAAUAAGAAGAAGAAGAAGAAAAAGGUAGAGGAGAGGUCGGUGUUGCAUGCAAUGGUGCGCAUGAGAAGAAGACGACCUA
rnacentral:lncRNA from 1 species